UACGGGGGGGGCAAGCGUUGUUCGGAAUUACUGGGCGUAAAGGGCUCGUAGGCGGCCAACUAAGUCAGACGUGAAAUCCCUCGGCUUAACCGGGGAACUGCGUCUGAUACUGGAUGGCUUGAGUUUGGGAGAGGGAUGCGGAAUUCCAGGUGUAGCGGUGAAAUGCGUAGAUAUCAGGAGGAACACCGGUGGCGAAGGCGGCUCUCUGGUCCACAACUGACGCUGAGGUGCGAAAGCUAGGGGAGCAAACGGG
rnacentral:rRNA from 1 species